CAGGUUUGUGGGCGUCCUGAGAGAGCUACCUGUACCGCUUCUUCUGGGCCCUUCCGAUUCUCUGAGCCUCUCUUCUCCUCAACUUCGGCCUCUCCUUUUGAUAGAGGAACCCUCGCUCCUACGGAAGGGUCUUCGAAAAAGAUCAGAAAAAAAGGUCAUGCGGUGGGAGAAGGGAGAGAAGCAGGAAAGGGAAACGGACCACGUCUACCGUGAGCGCUCUUAUGCAUACACGUUCACCUGCGCGAGAGCGCGCGUAACAUAAUACGAUGAGGAUCCCAUCGUGCAAAUGCCAAAAGAAUUUCGUUACUCGAGAGUAUGCGCGCUGCUGUCCAGGGACGCCUUGGGAUUUGAACCUUCUCCCGCUAUAGAAGCGGUUCGACACACUUCCUUCCCUUCCGAUAAAGACAAUUUAAAUGUUUUCAACGAUUCGAACCGAUGGAGCUUCGCCUUUUUCUAAUCGUUCUCACCUUUAAUCGGACAUAAUUAGGUACAUGUUAUGAUUUUGCUUACGAGCAAAUCAAAUCCUUUCUACGUAAUAAUAAUAAAUGUAAUAUGCUGUGUUUUUACAACGGCGUAUCGCUGAUAUCGCUAUAUCAUACGUACUUGUAUAUAUCGAAUUAAAGCUCUUCCUUUUAUUUCUCACGAGUAUCGAUGGAACACAUUCGAUUAUACAUAUCCUUAGAUAUACGCACACCUAUAUAUAUAUAUAUAUAUAUAGCAAUAUGUAGAGGCACGCACAUAUAUAGAGAUAUCUAUAAUAUGAAGGUGACUGUGAAAGUGCACGCAUACGUAUGUAUAUAUAAAUGUAGACCUUAAAGAGCAGGUAGCGCGCUUUCAAUUCGCCUUUGAGAUAGCGCGGAAGAUCGAAGAAGCUUGGAACUUUUGAGAAGUUAGUAGAGAGGGUCCUCCUUUCUUUGACUGAUCGCACGUAAAUUUUGAAAGAAUCCACGGGUCCAUUGUGGAUCAUCGGUCGUGCGAGAAAAGAAAUUUUCCUUCGGCGAGCCGACCAUAAGAUCUUCCCACAUACCUGCGUCGUGAUUAAUGUCACGCCUGUACGAGACAUUUUUCAAGUUAUAUCUUUUUAUACGAAAAUACAUAUUUAAUGUAUUACGUCGGUUAACAUUAUCGUUCGUCGUAAGCUACGCAGUGUUAAAGUCUAGACGAAACAGCCGGAUGGAUCAAAGUGACCUAUGGCCGUCAUGUUGUGUGUACAUAUGUAGCUGAAUCGAGUGAUCGAUUGAAAUCCCGUUGGCGUAUCUUAUUCUUUCAUUACUCGAUGGCACUGUGUAAUCGACGCAUAUCGCAUUUACGAUAGAGCAUCGAACGCUGUAAGCGAAGUGGUUUAGUAAUCCGGCAGCGGCACUUGCGCAAUCCAGGAAUUUCUCAUGCGAGGCGAAGGAAGGAAAUUGCGUUGCCCAAUUAGAAAUCGCGGGAGACCGCAGAAGGUGGAAAGGAACGAGAUAAAGGAAAGAAAAGGAGAUAAAAAUAGGGAGAGGGAGACGAAAGGAUGAUCGUAAGAAAGAAGAAAGAAGCACUGGAAUGAAGGAGGACGAGCGGUCGAAGAAGAAAGAAAAGGGUAGGAGGGCAAAUGACAGAGAGGAGAAGAGAGCUCCACUCGUCAUCCCGGAUGUGCAACAUCUUUACAUGCUAUUCUUCGAUGCAGUUACCUACCAACACGAUUGUUCUCUUUUUCGCCUAUUAACGAGUCUUCAGGUAUACUUGUCUACUGCAUAGAUGUAUGUACACUCGUAUGUAAUAAAUACGACAUAUAUCCAACGCGUCUAUGGCACGCACGCACGCACGUACGCACGCACGUACGCACGCACGCACGCAAUGAAUAAUAAUAAUCAUGAAAUAAUAAUAAUCAUGAAAUAAUAAAAUAUUAGAAGAAAUAUUCGACCGAUUGAAUUUGGACGCGAGUAUGAUUUCGUUAUUACAUUAUUAUUAAACGAAUAAUAGCAAUCGUUGGCCUAUUCGACUGAGAAUCCGACCGAGCGAGUAUUCGUUGCUUUGGAGAAAGUGUCUCUUGUACGAUGCCUUAAGGCGCAUUUCACAUGCGCUUUAAGAGCCCCGGCAAAGAGCGAGUUCCGACUCGCGGGCCGUGUGUUAACGCACGCUCGGCUUAUGUAAUCGGUUACGGUAAUAGCGUAGUUAUAGCAAUCCGGGAGCAACCAACGGGUAACACAAUUCCUUGUUAAUACGCUAACGAAUAUACUAACUCCAACAAUAUACACUGCUAUCGUCAAUUUUCAUAUGAGAUUCGUCUUUAUAAAAUACAAAAACUAGAAAAUACGAGUUAUAAAGCAUCUGUCCGCGAGGACUUUACCUCGACGACUUCAUUUAUCCCCCAAACGAUAUAAACUUUCCAUUUCUUUAUGAA